CAAGAGCCCGGUCGCCCUGGCAGCCUUCGACGGCUUCUUCUCUGCUUAACGAGUAGUGUGUGAAUUGAUUCGGAGGAGUUUACCUCUCCCCCAGUGUCAUGUACUGUAACUCCGAUGUGUACAUAACCGUGUGGUUUGCUGAUUUGCAACAAGGAAGAAGUGUGCUUUUUGUACCGCUCUUGGUACCUUCUUGGAGGGCAGAUAUGCCUAUGCGUUUUGCCAUUUUAUCUUUGAAAUUUCGUGUCAAGCUGCCAACAGACUAGUCUGGUUGUCUUGGCAUACUCGAGUGGUUUUGCCGACUGCUGAUGCUUGUUUGAAGCCCCAACCUUCAUCCAAUCCCUUCAAAUCUUUAUUUAUCCCUAAUACAUUAGGUAGAAGUAGUGUAUUGAGUAUUGAGAAAAAUGCAUUAUAAUUUGAGGAGAAAUAUGGGGAUGAAACAUGUCAAAUACACUAGAAUAAAAUGGUGUUAUGGGAUGUGUGGUGAUCGAGUAGUUUGACCAGAAUAAUCCCCAUAAAUUUCCUAAAAUACACUAGUACCAACGAGUAGUUUGACCAGAAUAAUCCCCAUAAAUUUCCUAAAAUACACUAGUACCAAACAAGUCCUUGAUGGUGGCACCCCGACACAGCAAUAGCUCAUCAUAUGAAACCAAAAUGGGGUUAUUAUGGCCCGGUUUAAAGGCGUUAAACAGGGAUGCAAACAUGUUCGCCAAAUCAGCGGCGAUGAGGACCGAAGACCGCCGCGUCAAGUGGCAGGGCUGAAACCGCAUCACCUCCAUACAGGUUUACUAGAUGUGAGAAAAUUCGUUUGGUAGCGUACACGGAGGUCUAGUUUGCACUCACACGAAUCAUAAAGCAGCUCAUAGCAUGGCUAGUUAGAGCAUCUUCAACAAACGAGGCUGGGCGCGCGUAACGACCGUUUUUGCGACGCUGCAAAUUUUUAACACGUCAACAUGUCGCUUCAACAGACGCUAUAACAAAUCAAGCGCGCGUUCAGCUGAUGCACAUAUAAGAUGAUCAAACAUUCAAAAUAUGCAAAGUUUGCACAAACAAAAUGAGCACAAGCAAGUUCAUGACAAACAAGUUCACAC
rnacentral:lncRNA from 1 species